rfam:Operophtera brumata OBRT01_Sc02634, whole genome shotgun sequence.
UAUUCUAUGGCCGAACUGGUAAAAGCAUUGCCGAUCACAGGCAGGGUUGCGGGUUCGAGUCCCGCUGGAACGG